AUACAUGCAAGUCGAACGAGGUCUUCGGACCUAGUGGCGCACGGGUGAGUAACAUGUGGGAAUCUACCUAAAGGUUCGGAAUAACUGCGGGAAACUGUAGCUAAUACCGGAUGUGUCUGCAAAGAGAAAGAUUUAUCGCCUUUAGAUGAGCCCGCACUAGAUUAGCUAGUUGGUGAGGUAAAUGCUCCACCAAGGCUACGAUCUAUAGCUGAUUUGAGAGGAUGAUCAGCCACACUGGGACUGAGACACGGCCCAGACUCCUACGGGAGGCAGCAGUAGGGAAUAUUGGACAAUGGGGGAAACCCUGAUCCAGCAAUGCCGCGUGAGUGAAGAAGGCCUUAGGGUUGUAAAACUCUUUCAUCAAUGAUGAUAAUGACAUUAGUUGAAGAAGAAGCUCCGGCUAACUUCGUGCCAGCAGCCGCGGUAAUACGAAGGGGGCUAGCGUUGUUCGGAAUCACUGGGCGUAAAGCGUAUGUAGGCGGAUCAAAAAGUUAGAUGUGAAAUCCCUGGGCUCAACCCAGGAACUGCAUUUAAAACUAGUGAUCUAGAAUUUGGUAAGGGUUAGUAGAAUUUCCAGUGUAGAGGUGAAAUUCGUAGAUAUUGGAAAGAAUACCAGAAGCGAAGGCGACUAACUAGGCCAUUUUUGACGCUGAGAUACGAAAGCGUGGGUAGCAAACAGGAUUAGAUACCCUGGUAGUCCACGCAGUAAACGAUGAGUGCUAGUCGCUGGUGCAAUAGUAUCAGUGUCGAAGCUAACGCAUUAAGCACUCCGCCUGGGAAGUACGGUCGCAAGAUUAAAACUCAAAUAAAUUGACGGGGGCCCGCACAAGCGGUGGAGCAUGUGGUUUAAUUCGAAGCAACGCGAAGAACCUUACCAGACCUUGACAUGGUAUGUAUGAAUUACAGAAUCGUAAUUCUU
rnacentral:rRNA from 1 species